UUUUUUUAUUGCUUUUAUUUUAGCCUCAUAGCAGAUUUUUCAUUUAAUAAUUUUCAUUCUUUUUAAUCAUUUGUAACCAUUUAACCUUUCUAAUUGAAUAAACCAAGUAGACUGCUGCAGCUUUUUUCUGUUUUUGGACAUCCUGCAUCUUUGCAUCUGAGGUUUCUCCUUCAACUCUCAGGGAGUUAUGUGGAGGAUUUUCCUGACGGUCAGUCUGCUCUGCUGGAGCGCUGACGGUAGAGUGACCUGCAGAGACCACAACAACGGAGAAGUGGACUGGUACAUCAUGUACAAGGCACCCCAACUGGUUAAGAUCGGAACUGAGGGUUUGGAAUAUAUUUACAUUGAUUCAAAUGGAAAGAAGGAGACCUCUAAAGAUCAUAAAAAGUCCAUUGACGCUGAUAACGGUGUCCUGGCAAACACCCUGCGGCCCAUUUU